CUUGGCAGUAGAUAAAACAGGAGGAUUUUAAUAUGGAAUACUGUUUAAAUAAAAUUAAAUAAUUAUUAUAUUGUAAUCCAGUGAAAGAGGAAUCGACGAGUUGAUGAAUAAACUUUAAUUGUCGUUUCUUUGAUAUUUCAGAGCAACACAACCCGUUUAUUUAUUCAGCGAUUCCUAGAUUUUCUGACGAAUUGUCUUAUAUGUGCAUAAAGUAAUUUAUUUAUAUCAUGAAUAGACUGUUUCGUCUGGCGGGAAUGGAUUGAAUUGAACAUAUGACCUAAUGCACAUGACCUAGACGUCACUCAACACAGUUUUUGUUGUCACAUAAGUAAAGACGUAAUAAAAUAUUUUUGUUUAAAUAACUUCUAGUACCAGACUGUUAAUAGAUAUAUGAGAUGUGUUUGUUUACCUACGAGUAUGUUCGUUUAUUGGAAGUAUUAUCAGCGAGUAAGAGGAUGUUUCCGUUUAUAUUUUGUGGUCUUUGAGAUAGUAUUAAGUUAAAUGUAGAAGGAAACUAUGCGGAGAUGGCAAUUAAAAACUUGGAACACUUUGUGUUGUAAUUUUCCAGUUGCGGUUUAAGAAACAGUUCGUAAAAGCGAGUUGAUGACGAGAUAAUAAUUUCAAAAGUUUCCGUUCCACACUCCUUGCGAUGUGGCCAUCGCUUCUAACUCAUCUACUGUACUCUUUCUUUGACCCCUAAUAUUACUUUUACUAAAUAACUUCGAUAUUUUUUAAAUCUUAUUAUCAGUGUUUAGUACACCAUACAAGUAAAUAUGCAUAUAUUUUGAUACGGUUUUAAAUUUGAUAAUAUUGGUAAAUGUGUUCUCUAUCAAACAUAAGCAGUACCUGAUAGUUUCGAGUGACCUUCACCGCCACCUUCCUGUCCAUGUGACUUGUGAGAGUACUUCUAUCGGUUUAAUGUACGUGUCGUCACAUUAAAUUUGUGUUGUUUGUAUAAAACUUAUGCAUGUGCCAGGGUUUAAAGUGCGCUACAUCUUACAACACGAUUCCUUAAAUAAUCAUCAAGCCUUCUAUGUAUUUUGGUCGGUGUACGGUUUAGAAUAUUUUUUCGCGAUUACGUUUUCAUUAUUUUACUGAAGGCAAGUGGAUAAUUUGUUACCAUGUAAUUGGUGAAUUAAUAAACUUAUUACGGAAUAUUAUAUCUCUGACCUGCGUGCUGGGGAUGUGUGAUCAACAAAUAAAAUACUCUAAUAAACGCAUGGGGUUGGUCAAUGCAGAAUUUUCUCAAGAAUGACGCAACAAAACAGCAUCUUUAUUGUUUAAAUCAC